rnacentral:tRNA from 1 species
GCGCCGGUGGUAAGGCGAACAUUGCUGCCCGGAAAGCAGAAGAUGCGGGUUUGAGUCCCGCCUGGCGCA